AAGACCUUGCGCGAUUAGAGUGGCCGAUGCCUGAUUAGCUUGUUGGUGAGGUAAAGGCUCACCAAGGCGACGAUCAGUAGCGGGUCUGAGAGGAUGAUCCGCCACACUGGAACUGAGACACGGUCCAGACUCCUACGGGAGGCAGCAGUGGGGAAUUUUGGACAAUGGGGGCAACCCUGAUCCAGCCAUUCCGCGUGAGUGAAGAAGGCCUUCGGGUUGUAAAGCUCUUUCAGCUGGAACGAAACGGUACGCUCUAACAUAGCGUGCUAAUGACGGUACCAGCAGAAGAAGCACCGGCUAACUACGUGCCAGCAGCCGCGGUAAUACGUAGGGUGCGAGCGUUAAUCGGAAUUACUGGGCGUAAAGCGUGCGCAGGCGGCUUUUUAAGCCAGACGUGAAAUCCCCGGGCUUAACCUGGGAAUG
rnacentral:rRNA from 1 species